ensembl:lncRNA
AAUUACCAGAGCUGGCUCCUCUCCUUCAGACAUGUCAGAGCCACCAGCUAGCCGAAUAGGCAAGCAGUGUUUGAUUGACAUCAUUUUUCUUAGAUUUGUGGACUUCUGGGAGAGAACUGGUUGAGCUUAUUCCAAGCAACAAGAGUGACAGCAAGCUGUGAACAAAGCAGCUGUGGGGCGAAAGGAAUAUGGAGAUCAUUACUUGUGCCUUGGCUGCUUGCAGAGUCACCCUCCAACGAGCAGUGGUUUGUAUUAGCAGCCCCAGCCUGCAAAACGUGAUCAGAUACAGCCCAUAUGAACACCACAUCUCUGUUCCAAUGCAGCGCUGGCCCCGAGCCAUCUUGAGAUAUUUGCUAUGCAGACCAGCUCUGGAAGCUUGCAAAGACUGCAUCGCUUCUCCAUUGGCUCUCCCAGGGGCCACUCCAUGAAUCACGACUAUGGGAAAGAACACAAAAGAGGUGGAUUUGGGCAGGAGGGGGUAAAUGGAUAUCGGCAGCGCUCUGGGAAGGUCAGCUGGAGGAAGGAGAGGUCAGGACAGAGAGAGCAUGGAUCAGAUAACGGGUCAGACGUGGUGAAAUAAAGGACAGGAAAUUCAUAUUUGUUACAGGAGAAAAGGAGGAAGCGAGGGAAGGGGGAUGAAACGGGCGAGGAUACGGUUGAGUUGCCAGCCUGAGGAGUUGUGAAGUGGAAGGAGGAAAUUUGUUUUAAUUUUUUUUUUAACGCAGAUGGGCUGGAGUGCAGCGUCCCACCAACUGAAAGCCACGUCAGGAAACGGUGCUCCAGCAAAGAAAAACGACAAAAAAAAAGUUGUUAUUUUUCUUAGUAGGAAUAUUUCGCAUCUCUUUGAAGCUUCUCUCGUAUUAACAAAUGACCUGAGCGAUUUAUGAAAAGCACUUAACAGAUUGCUGUGGUCAGACAAAGCACACGCUUGGCCCGCAACUGUUAUUUCAUUAAAAUACUGAUUCCU